UACGGAGGGGGCUAGCGUUGUUCGGAAUUACUGGGCGUAAAGGGCGCGUAGGCGGUCUUGCAAGUCCCGUGUGAAAUCCCUCGGCUCAACUGGGGAACUGCACGGGAAACUGCUUGACUUGAGUUCGGGAGAGGGAAGCGGAAUUCCGGGUGUAGCGGUGAAAUGCGUAGAUAUCCGGAGGAACACCGGUGGCGAAGGCGGCUUCCUGGACCGAUACUGACGCUGAGGCGCGAAAGCUAGGGGAGCAAACGGG
rnacentral:rRNA from 1 species